rnacentral:rRNA from 1 species
CUACGGGGCGCUCCAGUUAGGCAUAAUUUACAAUGCGCGCAAGCGUGAUAAUUUGAGCCAGAGUGUUUAUCUAUUGAUAAGCUUUUGUGAAAUGUAAAAAGUUCCACGAAUAAGGACUGGGUAAGACGAGUGCCAGCCGCCGCGGUAAUACUCGCGGUCCAAGUCGCAGCCAUUUUUAUUGGGUCUAAAACAUCCGUAGCUUGCUUAAUAAGUCCCUUGUGAAAUUUUACAUCUUAAGUGUGAAGCGUGCAAGGGGUACUGUUAAGCUAGAGACUGGAAGACGUAAGGAGUACGCCAGAAGUAGCGGUCAAAUGUGCUGAUCUUUGGUGGACUAACAAUAGCGAAGGCACCUUACGAGGACAGUUCUGACAGUAAGGGAUGAAGGCUAGGGGCGCAAAGGGGAUUAGAUACCCCCGUAGUC